UACCGGAUGCGUCCUCUAGAUCAGCAUAUUUUUGGAUUUUUCCUUCUUUAAAUAAUGUAGCAAAAUGUAAAUUCAUGAAGGAUGUUUCUAACAUGUUUUACGGACUUUUUGACAGGUCUAAAAGUAUGUAAUAGGUUCGUGCUUUUCUUUAUGCAAAAAUUGUGUUUGUCGUGCGAAGAAACGUUGCUUGAGCGUCAAAUGACGUAUAUGCCAAAUACUAAAGUGUUUUACCUUAACAUUUGAAAUCAAGGUGUCUACAUAUAUUUUCUUCUAAUUUCUUCUUGAAGUGAUCGUAGUCUUGAUAUGUAGCUUGAUUUCCAAUUUGUCCAAACUUGCAAGAGCUCCACUUGUCGUAAACUUCUAUAAUCAUUUAAACACAAUUGUUAAAUAAAAUAUGUUUGUUAUAAUCAAAACGAGAAGUCAACCGUAGGCCAACAAUUUUCCCCUUUU
rnacentral:lncRNA from 1 species